UAGUGUUAUUUUAAAAUUUAUACCAUAUUUUACAUUUGUAUUAAUGUAUGCUAAACUCUUUUUCAUGGUAAAUGAGCAUCUUUCAAUUGUUUUUAUCAAAUAAUUUAAUAAAACUUCAUAAUACUCCCUCAAUCGAUGGAAUAACCACUAUAAAAUUAUUGUUUUCUUGAUAAACGGAGACGGAAAAGGCUCCAAAUCUCUUUGAACAUCAUCAUAUGUUAGUGCAGGAUGAAACUAGGCAUUAAAACAAUAUUGUCAUAUUUUUUGAAAUUUUCUCAAAAUCUAUGGGCUAACACCUACAAAAAUAUUGAGUUUUUGGUAAAU
rnacentral:lncRNA from 1 species